GAUCAUGUUCAGUGGAAGUGUGAUUGAGAUCAUGUUCAUGAUCUCAAUCAUACUUCCACUGAACAUGAUCUCAAUCAUACUUCCACUGAACAUGAUC
rnacentral:pre_miRNA from 1 species